AAUGCAAAAUGGACAUUAAUGAAUUGAAUUAACAAAACACAUACGAUACACAUGUUAAUGAAAACUUAGAGCCACCAACGAACGCGUCCUCUCUCUCAGUUUAGUUUCUAGUUUUCCCUUCGUCAUGUCGGAGGCCCUCUCCGGUGGCGGAGACACCUCAAAACACCAAUUAAGAACAUCACUCAACUCAGUUUCAAGCGUUGAAUCCAAAUAUGCUAAUGAAAUUUCUUGAUUCUUAUUGAUAUGCUCAAAUAGAACCAAAUUAAUGAAGAACCCUAGGUCUAGAUUCGAAAGUAAGUCGAGACUGAGGGGAAUCAAGCCACUCCACCUUGGGCCUUUGAUUCCCCUAAUUGAAAUCUACAUGAUGGUAACUCCUUUGAGGCAAAAGGAUGAAGAUGGAAGUGAAGACUUACCGGAGAAGACGCCGAUGUCAUGAAGUAUGUAAGUUUGGCUUGUUGGGCUUUGGAUUCAAGGACUGUCAUUGGCCACGUGGAAUUGUUGAGCUUGCUUAGGGACUUAUUGCAAUGGAGUCUUGGACUUGGAUUGGCUAUGAAGUGCAUGUUGGAUGCUUGGACUAUGUUGUAAUUUUUGUAACUUGGAAUUGAACUAGGGACUUGUGGCAAUUUUGUUGUAAUUUGAAAUGUUGUAAUGUAGGGUUAUAAUUGGAAUGAAAUUUGAAUGUAUGUAUGGUUAUUCAUGGUUAAAUGUAUGAAAUUGAAUGUUAGAAUAUGGAGAUUGAAUCAAAUGUAUGGUUGUGUUACAAUUUGAAAUUGGCUUAUGUUUUGAAAUUGGAA